GGCGGGGUUUCUCGCCUCCGGUCACAAUGGGACCUCUGUACCGCGCUGGGCUUGUUGGCCUGCGAUUAGCACACACCCAUCCCUGGGAACUGCUAGUCUGGAAAGCGGGGCUGCUUCUCCGGGAUGAGCCCGAGCCCUGCCAAGCCCCUCAAGGCAUUGAAGCUUUAGCUCACCUUAUCCGAAUGGUCAUUGGGCAUCUGGACUUGAGUUAACGACUGAAUUUUUCUGGGAAGCAAGGGACACGUUCUAAAAUAACCCCAGGAUCACUCUCCGAACUUGGCCUGAGUCUAGGCAAGCAGUGUUACUCGGUCGCCUUGAUCUUGGAGCUGCUGUGUACUGGGGACCUCAUACUAGUUGGGUUAACUAUAUUCCCAUUAGCAGUACGCGGGAUCGCAGUACUCGGGACAAGCUGAGUUCAGCUGCUAUGAGUAACACGAUCUGGAAAGACAGCGCUAGCAAGGAAUGAGGAGUGAUACAGUGACUGGAGGCUAAGAGAUAAUGUCUGCAAGUCACCUAAAACCAUUGCAGACACAGGGAGAUUGAUGGAUUUGGAGGACUUCUGGUUGUGAAGACUCUGACGAUUGCUAAAGAUGCAAAUACCUGCAAGUAAGCACAAAUGCCUGUAAUGCUGAGAACCACACCUGACAAGAGAUCGAUUACAUCACUGGCUUCUUCUGCUUCAACAACAGGCAGCAUCAAAACUGUGACAUGAGAACUAAGGAUAACUAUGUUGAAACUGAGGCCAUGCUGUUGAAAUCUUGAGGGCUGAAGGUUCCAAAGAAAUGAUAUACAUAGAAUUCUAUCAGACUUGAAAUUUUCCUUUUCUAGAGCUCCGGAUGCUGAGACUAAGAGGUUCCACAUGAGGCUGCUUUCCAGGAAGCAGUCAUUACAGGAAUCAAAGCAUUUUCUUUCUUUUUGAUACAUUACUAUCUUUUCUAUACACAGAUGAUAAGAGUACAGAAAAAUGUUAUUUCUGUUAUUUAGUAAUGAUUGUAAUUUAAAACAAAUCCUUAGUUUGCACUAAAACAAACAUCUCGAUCAAGAAAAGUAAUGGUUUCACUGAAUUCAGUUCAAAUCAAAUAUUUAUAGAAUUGUUAUUAACUUUUUUUUUAAUUUUUUUU
rnacentral:lncRNA from 1 species